rnacentral:rRNA from 1 species
UACAGAGGUCUCAAGCGUUGUUCGGAUUCAUUGGGCGUAAAGGGUGCGUAGGCGGCGCGGUAAGUCGGGCGUGAAAUCUCGGAGCUUAACUCCGAAACUGCAUUCGAUACUGCCGUGCUUGAGGACUGGAGAGGAGACUGGAAUUUACGGUGUAGCGGUGAAAUGCGUAGAUAUCGGGAGGAAUACCAGUGGCGAAGGCGGCCUUCUGGACGGAUACUGACGCUGAGGCGCGAAAGCCAGGGGAGCAAACGGG